rnacentral:lncRNA from 1 species
UGGUCUAAAAGCGUGGGACAGAGAUUUUCACAUGGGUUGGUCCAUCUUUGUUGUUCUGAUCUAUCGUGUUUCAAUUUUUUGUAAUGAUUUAUGUCAUGUUUCUUGAAUUUAAGAUGGGGAAUGGAUCUCUGUGGCCAAAAAGUUUUAAGUUUUUAAACAACAAGUUUCCAAUCACAAUUUAUUCAAGAGCAGAUCAAAUGACAAAUGCUAUAUAGAUUGGAAGUUUCUGUGGCCUAGCUAACACGGUCCCAUGUAUUGAUCAAGGUUCUGUAGACAGACUCUGACAGGAUUGGUUAGAUUGUAUUAGUUCUGUUUUAAAUGAGAGAACAGAACCAUGCAAGGAAAACUGUGUUCAUGUGUGUCCAACACUUGUAGACAGACAAUUUUUCCUUUAAUUGAUUUGAGAAAGGUUUGAAGUUUCAAAUCCCUUACAAAUCUGUAUAUAGAGAAGGAACGACGUCUUUAACAUCAACAAGUUGCAAGCAAUCCAGAACAAUAAACUCUCGUUAUUAUUCAUGUAUGUUCAGAAGCUUCAAAACAAGAAAACGGCUUUGGUGAGAAGUCUCUUUAGCGCAAAGAAGAUUCUUGGCGGCACUUUAGUAAGAACAUGCAAAGCAGCACCAAAAAGGUUUCUUGUAAAGACACUUCUAUCAGUAUAACGUCCAGCUCCGAGGAUGAAGAUGAUAUCCAACAGAAACAUAUUAACAAUUUACCUUUUUACUCAAACUAGAGAUGGUGUAUUCCAUGUAAAUAGAAGACAUCUGUUUUCUCCCCUUUCCAUUAUAAUGGAGUUUGUUCAAGAGAAUUAAAAAUGUUUGAAUGUGAAUACCAUCUUCGUAUACCGAAGGUCAUUAAAUCAUUACAAGCAAAUACAAUUUUUUUUAUCAAAUCAUAACGAGUAUGCAUGAAAGAAGACUAACAAUCUAAAUAUCAGUUACUGCAAAAAUGUAAAAGAUCUCUGCUGGUAAGCAACUUCAUAACCCCACCCCCCGCCUAAGUUUGAGCUAAUAGAAAACAGAUUUGGCAAUGAGAAAUCAAUUUCAAAUACCGAAAUAAGAAUCCGACAGCUAUUCAUUGAGUUUUUCUCUCGCAUAAAACCUAUCAAACCUUAACUUUUAAAAGACAACAAAGUCGCAUGAAGAACACAUUUAUCGAGAGAGUUGAACUAGAAACAGAAACUGCAAAUUACAGAGAUAGAAAUGAAAAAAAGGGAGAGCAAGUGCAACAUCACACCCAUAGACGUACUAUCUUGUCAAACAUUUCGUCUUAAUUCAUUUGUCCACGGGAGAUUUUACGAAUCUCCACUUCUGCUUCGUACUGCUUGGUGAAUUGAGUUACUAAGUAAUAUUCUGAGGUAUAUUAAAAAAAGAAGUCACCACCAAUGAAUUUGUUUUUUCUAAACAAUCUAAAUUUUCAAAGUAAUAAUAUAUGAUGGAAAUCUCAAGAUUACCUUUACCAACGUAAAGCAAAAAGCCAGUAGACGUCCAUGCGCCAGCAUCAAAAGUCUUAAAAGAUGGAAUAACCUUCGUCUUCGCGGCGACUAGGAAGUCAUACAUCUCUUCUCCGAAUAGAACAAUAACAGCAAAUAAAACUCACCGAAAAACAACCAAAACGAACCGAGAAUGGUAUAGAUCUGAGAACUUUACCGUUGCUGCUACCAGGCGAUGAAGAGAAAUUGCGGCGAGACCGAAUCGAUCUCAAGCCCUGUAAAAACUUUGGUUAAUCGAUGGAACACAGAAAAGGAGAAAGUAGAAAACAUAAUCAUAUAUCUCGAUCUACCUGUGCAACGAUAGAUCUCAGAUUCGGCGUCAUGACCUGAAACUAGGGUUUCACUUUUCUGUCUGAUUUCGUCAAGACGGGGCUUAAAUAAGUUUUUCUACGGUCGGUCAGGCCUUAGCCAGAGUUUAUGACCUUAUUAAUUCUAUUGUUGGGCCUUAGCCCAAUUUCUUUUCGGGCCCGGAGUUUAUGACCUUUUAAUCCGCCUAUAAUGUUGGGCCUUAGCCCAAUUUAUUUUCGGAUCCGGAGUUUAUGAUCUUUUAAUCCGCCAAUCACGUUAUUUCCCUAGUUGUUCAAAUCAACGGCCUUGAAAUGACGACGCCUGAUUUCGAGAGACCUAAAUAAAACGAUAAGAGACGACCGGAAGAAAAUUCGACUGAAGAAGAUGUCGAUUCGGUGAAGGUAAUUCAUAUGGUGACUCCGAAUAAACGAGCCCAGCGAGUAGUUGAAUUCUUCCACAACAUAAGGGGGCAGGGUUGCGUGCGUGUCAUAGAUGCACAACCUGAGCGAGAAAUAGCUAAGGGACUAGAUCGGUUAUUUCAGUUGCAAAGAAAGAGAGGGCUAGAGCUAAUUUUUAUAAGCUAAUGUGUUAAGCAUAUAUGCUCAAAAUAACCUUAGCCCGGAAACAACUCCUCAAUCAAUUAUAAGGGUCGCUGAGUUUGGUUGCGUCCAUAAAAAUGGGAAGUGGAGUGGUGAGGCGGAGAAUAUUCAUUAAUGAUUAUUAACGAUUAGGCAGAGAAUAGUUUCAUUUUAGUCUGGAGAGAGACUCACAGGAACUCGCCGGAGAAAGUGUGAAAUCGAAGAAGAAGAUGAAGAAGCCAUUGUUGUUGAAUAGAAGAGUGACUAUUCCAGCUCAUAAAAGAAAAAGAAAUUAUUGAUACAGCGCGAAUCGAUCCCUGUUGCCAGAAUUGUGACCGGAGAAGAAGAAGGCACAAAUCAUAUGAAGCAACAAUGGCAAUUCAUGAUCCUCUGCUUGUUCACCUUGUUUCUAGUGGCGGAUGCUCGUGAUAGACGGUAACAACUUUUACACAAGUUUCUGGCGGGUAAUUGGAAUUAGAAGAAAUUGGUUUCAGCUGCUACUCAAGUUACCGGUCAGAGGGGACUCGUUGACGAGUAGGCAAACUCAUUAAUGAAGAAGGCCAGCCUUGUAAAAUGGGGGAAGAAAGAUUGCUCGGAUCCAAUUAUGGCACAAAGAGGAAAUAGGAUUCAGGGAUGAACUAAAACCACUGUGCUGGAUCUAAUUAAGACAUACUCGAAUCUAAACCAACUGGCUGAUGACGAACGAUCGAAACAUUCCAUGUUAGCAUUUCUGUAUAAUGACUCGUCCUCUUCACAUUGUUACCUGAUUUAUAUAUGCUUCCUUCAUCAUUGGGAGGUAUCAUUAACUUACAUGUUAACCAUAAUAGUUCACAUAAGCAGAUUCUAUAACUUGUAUCACAUCAGUUGCAAAUCAGAGAUCAUGUGUAAUCAAAAAUAACACACCCACAUACAUUCGACAAAAGUAAAGACAACUCCAUAAUUUAUAUGUCUGACUAGUCCACAGUGACACGGAAUACAAAGCUUAAAAAAUAACUAGAAAUUUCGUCCAGUUAUCUUCCUUUGGCAUCACAGGAUUACUCCAAUUUACUCUGUGCACAACAAAGAUAAUGACUAGUCCUCCCCUCUAGCCAUUUUCCACAGAUCCCUUGACGGAUGUCUUACUAUCACCAAACCUUAAAACCACACACACACAAACACAAAGUUUUUAAAAUCAAAUUCAUUCAAGUACUGAAAAAAUUCUCUCUCCCUCUCGAUCCAUACCUAACAAAUAUCCCCCACCCAGGCAAAGACCUCGUUUUGCAAGAUCAUCAAAGGUGAGCGAUGAGAAAGUCCCGCCUCCGCCCGUGGAGGCUACAAUCACAAAUCAGAGAUUUUUGUUUUACAUCCGAAUAUAAAACGAACCGAGAAUGGUAUAGAUCUGAGAACUUUACCGUUGCUGCUACCAGGCGAUGAAGAGAAAUUGCGGCGAGACCGAAUCGAUCUCAAGCCCUGUAAAAACUUUGGUUAAUCGAUGGAACACAGAAAAGGAGAAAGUAGAAAACAUAAUCAUAUAUCUCGAUCUACCUGUGCAACGAUAGAUCUCAGAUUCGGCGUCAUGACCUGAAACUAGGGUUUCACUUUUCUGUCUGAUUUCGUCAAGACGGGGCUUAAAUAAGUUUUUCUACGGUCGGUCAGGCCUUAGCCAGAGUUUAUGACCUUAUUAAUUCUAUUGUUGGGCCUUAGCCCAAUUUCUUUUCGGGCCCGGAGCUUAUGACCUUUUAAUCCGCCUAUA